rnacentral:rRNA from 1 species
CCCUUAGAUGUUCUGGGCCGCACGCGCGCUACAAUGAUGCAGGCAACGAGUGCUGCUCCUUGGCCGAAAGGCUUGGGGAACCUUGAAAACUGCAUCGUGCUAGGGAUAGAUGAUUGCAAUCGUGCAUCUUGAACGAGGAAUGCCUUGUAAGCGUGAGUCAUCAACUCGCGCUGAAUACGUCCCUGCCCUUUGUACACACCGCCCGUCGCUCCUACCGAUUGGAUGAUCCGGUGAACUGGUCGGACUGAUGAUUGAUACCGUGGGUACGGUACAAACACAGAAAGUCUAGUAAGCCUUAUCAUCUAGAGGAAGGAGAAGUCGUAACA